AAUAAUUGCAAUGGGACCCGCAUACUAAUGACUGAUUAAAAAGCCCCGUUUUGAUGAUUAUCUCGAAAACCGGUACCGAUUGGACCCCGCUUUAUUAAUAUAAAGCUACUAAAUACGUAUUUUCAUGUCAUAAACGAUCCAAAGGGGUACCAAUUAUUUGUAAAUAUAAAUAGCCCUUUCUACACCUUAUUUUCAACCGUAAAUCAUUUUCACCAGUUUCUCUGCACGAAUACCGAGAGAAACCGAAGUAUGUUCUUCGUGUUCUUCAUAAUCAAACGAAGAUUUGAAGGUGUUAUUGGAAUCCGAUGGAGGUGUAUGAAUAGUCAAAACGAAGCUAUCGACGUGUAGAUUAUAGUUUAAUCAUUCGUUUGUGUGCAGAUUCAACAGGAUUUGGACGAGACGUGUAUGCUCGAAGACGUCAGAAAGUCGGAAUGGUAUUGCAAAGCGAAUAAGGGAUGAAUCGAGUAAGCGAAGCGAUGUGGCGAAUAGGGUAUAGCUAGAGAUGGUCUAGAGAUUACGAGAUGCAUAGAUUGUGAAAGUUGAAAGAUGAGAAUGAGCUGUGAAACUGGAGUCAGAUUUAAGAAAGGCUUAAAGAUGAGAUGAUUGAUUGAGAUUGUGGAUAAGGCUAAUGCUAGGCGAGGAAACAGAGUUGAGGAUCCAGUGGUCGAGGAGUGUUCAGGAAAGUUGAUGAGGUUGGUGCAAGCUAGAGCUGUGCUAUAGGGAUUCAAGUGUAAGUCAUAGCUGGAAUAGUUGACAGUGAUUCUUCUUAUCGAAGAUGAUCUGAUUUGGUAAGAAAUGGGGUGUAAUAUUAGUGGUGGAUUCUAAUUUCAAUGCUGUAACCUGGAUGCGAUCCUGUUGCUUUAGGGGGUUGAAAUGUCUCUUUCAAAUCACUUAUUUAAGUUAAAAUGUUCUCUUGAAAUUCUCUUA